UACGUAGGGUGCAAGCGUUAAUCGGAAUUACUGGGCGUAAAGCGUGCGCAGGCGGUUUUGUAAGUCUGUCGUGAAAUCCCCGGGCUCAACCUGGGAACUGCAUUUGUGACUGCAUCGCUGGAGUACGGCAGAGGGGGGAUGGAAUUCCGCGUGUAGCAGUGAAAUGCGUAGAUAUGCGGAGGAACACCGAUGGCGAAGGCAAUCCCCUGGGCCUGUACUGACGCUCAUGCACGAAAGCGUGGGGAGCAAACAGG
rnacentral:rRNA from 1 species